GAUGAACGCUGGCGGCGUGCUUAACACAUGCAAGUCGAAGGAAGCACCUUGAUUUGAUUCUUCGGAUGAAGAUCUUGGUGACUGAGUGGCGGACGGGUGAGUAACGCGUGGGUAACCUGCCUCAUACAGGGGGAUAACAGUUAGAAAUGACUGCUAAUACCGCAUAAGACCACAGCACCGCAUGGUGCAGGGGUAAAAACUCCGGUGGUAUGAGAUGGACCCGCGUCUGAUUAGGUAGUUGGUGGGGUAACGGCCUACCAAGCCGACGAUCAGUAGCCGACCUGAGAGGGUGACCGGCCACAUUGGGACUGAGACACGGCCCAAACUCCUACGGGAGGCAGCAGUGGGGAAUAUUGCACAAUGGGGGAAACCCUGAUGCAGCGACGCCGCGUGAGCGAUGAAGUAUUUCGGUAUGUAAAGCUCUAUCAGCAGGGAAGAAAAUGACGGUACCUGACUAAGAAGCACCGGCUAAAUACGUG
rnacentral:rRNA from 1 species